UACGUAGGUGGCAAGCGUUAUCCGGAUUUAUUGGGUGUAAAGGGCGUGUAGGCGGGAGCGCAAGUCAGAUGUGAAAACUCAGGGCUCAACCCUGAGCCUGCAUUUGAAACUGUGUUUCUUGAGUGCUGGAGAGGCAAUCGGAAUUCCGUGUGUAGCGGUGAAAUGCGUAGAUAUACGGAGGAACACCAGUGGCGAAAGCGGCUCUCUGGCCUGUAACUGACACUGAGGCUCGAAAGCGUGGGGAGCAAACAGG
rnacentral:rRNA from 1 species